CCUACGGGGGGCUGCAGUGAGGAAUAUUGGUCAAUGGGAGAGAUCCUGAACCAGCCAAGCCGCGUGAGGGAAGACGGCCCUAUGGGUUGUAAACCUCUUUUGCCGGAGAACAAAACCCGGGACGUGUCCCGGACUGCGUGUAUCCGAAGAAAAAGCAUCGGCAAACCCCGCGCCAGCAGCCGCGGUAAUACGGAGGAUGCGAGGGUUAUCGGGAUUCAUUGGGUUAAAGGGGGGCGUAGGCGGUCCGUUAAGUCAGCGGUAAAAUUGAGGGGCUCAACCCCGUCGAGCCGUUGAAACUGGCAGACUUGAGUUGGCGAGAGGUACGCGGAAUGCGCGGUGUAGCGGUGAAAUGCGUAGAUAUCGCGCAGAACUCCGAUUGCGAAGGCAGCGUGCCGGCGCCAGACUGACGCUGAGGCACGAAAGCGUGGGGAUCGAACAGGAUUAGAUACCCUAGUAGUC
rnacentral:rRNA from 1 species